AAAAAGAGAGAUCCUUGUGUGCAUGUGACAACAAUAUCACAAAUUCCCCACAAAUGUGGCUUGAAUGGCAGAGUUGCAAGAAAAAAGCCACUCCUCAAGAAAGGUCACAUGCAGUCACAAAC